GCUUGCACCUUAGCUUAGCGGCGGACGGGUGAGUAAUGCUUAGGAAUCUGCCUAUUAGUGGGGGACAACAUUCCGAAAGGAAUGCUAAUACCGCAUACGCCCUACGGGGGAAAGCAGGGGAUCUUCGGACCUUGCGCUAAUAGAUGAGCCUAAGUCGGAUUAGCUAGUUGGUGGGGUAAAGGCCUACCAAGGCGACGAUCUGUAGCGGGUCUGAGAGGAUGAUCCGCCACACUGGGACUGAGACACGGCCCAGACUCCUACGGGAGGCAGCAGUGGGGAAUAUUGGACAAUGGGCGGAAGCCUGAUCCAGCCAUGCCGCGUGUGUGAAGAAGGCCUUUUGGUUGUAAAGCACUUUAAGCGAGGAGGAGGCUACUAAUAUUAAUACUCUAGGAUAGUGGACGUUACUCGCAGAAUAAGCACCGGCUAACUCUGUGCCAGCAGCCGCGGUAAUACAGAGGGUGCGAGCGUUAAUCGGAUUUACUGGGCGUAAAGCGUGCGUAGGCGGCUUUUUAAGUCGGAUGUGAAAUCCCCGAGCUUAACUUGGGAAUUGCAUUCGAUACUGGGAAGCUAGAGUAUGGGAGAGGAUGGUAGAAUUCCAGGUGUAGCGG
rnacentral:rRNA from 1 species